CAAAAGGUUGUUUGUGUGAUAUGAAUUGUUAAUGAGCUCAAGUUUUUUAAUCCUUUUAUAAUUGUUGGUGUUAUAAAUGCCACUCGUAAAUGUAGUUAAGUCUGCUCUCUGGUGUCUGAUAGAUCAUUUGCAUUAGUGCUGCAUUGCAACAUGUUAUCCAGCCUGUCCUCACACCUCUCCUCUCAGAGACGGAGAAUUAUCCAGCUCAAAGCCGGUCUGGAGAGGAUCUUCCCUGGACUGUAAAAGGAACAGCUAGGAGGAGAGAUGUUUGAUGGUGCUGGGCUUCGUGCUUGGUCUGAUUUGGAGCCUUCUGUGUGGAGAUACCUCAGGCUAGCAACAACGACGAUUCAACAUGCAAGGGUCCUGGGCUGUUUCAUUGUCCUCAAGAGCUGUGAGAUUUGUGUUCCGCAGGACAUAAUGCCUCCGUCCAAACUGGCCACAGCAAUUCAGCAGAUAACUGACGGGCAUUGACUGUUAUUCUCAUUUAUGCAAGAGAAUUGCUGUUGGAAUUUCCAUUUAAGGACACAGAAGCACUGGAAAGUGACAACAGCAGGGCCAUCCUGAUGAAGCUAAUCUGAGAGCACUGUAAAUUUUAGACUUUCUCCCUUAUGUCACCCAGUGUUUCUGACGUUUGAGAAAAGUAACAGCACACAAUGGUAAUCUUGCUAAAAAUACAUUUCAU
rnacentral:lncRNA from 8 species